AUUGAACGCUAGCGGGAUGCCUUACACAUGCAAGUCGAACGGAGUGGCGAACGGGUGAGUAAUGUAUCGGAACGUGCCCAGUAGCGGGGGAUAACUACGCGAAAGCGUAGCUAAUACCGCAUACUAUCGGAGCGGCCGUCAUCGGACUAGCUAGGUGGUGGGGUAACGGCUCACAAGGGCGACGAUCCGUAGCUGGUUUGAGAGGAGGACCAGCCACACUGGUGCUGAGACAGGGCCCAGAAGCCUACGUGAGGGAGCAGGGGGGAAUUUUGGACAAGGGGGGAAAUCCUGAGCCAGCCAGCCCGCGUGUGCGAUGAAGGCCUUCGGGUUGUAAAGCACUUUUGGCAGGAAGGCGGUACCUGCAGAAUAAGCACCGGCUAACUACGUGCCAGCAGCCGCGGUAAUAC
rnacentral:rRNA from 1 species